UACGAAGGGAGCUAGCGUUGUUCGGAAUCACUGGGCGUAAAGCGCACGUAGGCGGAUGUGUCAGUCAGGGGUGAAAUCCCGGAGCUCAACUUCGGAACUGCCUUUGAUACAGCACGUCUUGAGUCCGGAAGAGGUGGGUGGAAUUCCUAGUGUAGAGGUGAAAUUCGUAGAUAUUAGGAAGAACACGGUGGCGAAGGCGGCCCACUGGUCCGGUACUGACGCUGGAGGUGCGAAAGCGUGGGGAGCAAACAGG
rnacentral:rRNA from 1 species